CGGUCGGUAGAGAAGGUAAGCUCCGUACAUUUUUGGAUAACCUACAUUUGGGAUCGGCGGCCACCGCACGAUCGAGUUUAAGAGGGUUAAAGGACUGACUUUAGUCGAUCAAAUCAAUUUUAAGUCAUCUACCCCCGAGACCACGACUGUCGUCCCGCGUACUAAGAGAGAGGGCCAGGCGUGAAGCGGGCUAAUUGGGAUCGGGGAGGCGAGGAACGUCGGAGUGGGCAGCGGCGCGAGGCAGGAGGAGAGGAGGGGCAAGAGAGGUCGGCGGCUCAAGCGGCGGCGGCGGCGGGAGGGGCCGCUCGAGCGGGGAACGGUAGCGGCCCUCCUUUCACGUCUCGGCUGCGAGCGCAGCGACGAGGCAUCUCUCCUCGUGCGGUAGCUCUGCUGGGUUUUUCCUUUGUGGCGGCCGGCUUCGUAGAUACCCCCGGGGUACCAACGGCCGCUGGCCUGCGGUGGUGGCGGCGGCUACAGCAGCCGCGGGGGUGCGGUACGAAGGCUUGUCCUCCUCCUACCGGUGCUCAAACGUCACCUCCCCCCGCGUAGGUAGCCGGCUCUAGCACUUGUGACGGGAACUGCCGCACGACCACCACCGGACUCAUGGUAGACAGCCUCUCCUCUUUCCGUACGGAUGGGGAAGAACUCUCGCCAGCACAUGUUCCGGUCUUGCUGUUUCGGCGAGGGUGACGAGGGGUCACGUCUCCUAACGUAUAUCCGAGAUACUGCGUCUAACACAGCGGCCACCAGGCAACCAACUACUUAAAACGAAUAGAAGUUACAAGAUACAUCGUACGGUCAUUACGAAGGAGUGGACGAACUUUUUCUUCGACUGAUAACGUAUAGACCAGUUGGAAAGGAUCAGAAUACUAUUCCAAUAUUCCCAACUGACGAGUAUCUUCCAAUAACAAGUUAGGUACCUAUGUCAGAUCGUAGAAUACUAUUCUUCUCUUAUACGAUUCCCUCUAUGUAACUGUCCUUCACGAGUGAGCGAACUUAACAAAGAUAGCCCCCGUCUUAAUAACAACUUUGUACGGUGGCACAAACCAGACCCUAGACUCGCUUGGACAGCGCGGGCUGAAGCAGGAGGUGAACCAGCAUCGGUAGGUGUUUUUCUCCCCUACAGUACUGUCGGCCCAGGAGUGGACAGAGGUGAGGUAUCGUACAGUUGCCGCCUCGGCGCUAUAUUUCAACCUCGCACGGGAAAGCAAUCACGGCAGCAAGAGAGGAGGUGCCGACAGCAACAGUGCUCGGGUUCAUAGAAACGACCCAUAGCUGCCGUAACCACCUGGAUUAUCUUUUUCUUCUUUUCUCUUCUUCGUAGUUCUAUAGUACGUUUCUACAUAAGUUCCGACAGAACGUUGUUACGUAGAAGUCCCUGAACCUUCAAAGUAGAUAAUUCUCUUCGGCUACGAACACGCCUAACGACUUAGUUAGUUCUACCUUCGACUACGUUAAUCUCAGGGUAACCAUGGUAACGGACACUAGCGCUACGUCCGUGAGUGAGAUCCUAGACUACAUAAAAAAAAACGAUUAGGGAAUACCAUCUAAUAUCAAGUUCAUCACUUAAGUAGGUGAAGAUAUGUAUAAAAGAAAACAACAGACGAAACACAAGGACGUUGAGUCGUACUAGUGGUUUCCCUGCAGAGGAUUUUUAGUUCUCUUAUUGAUUAACGUAUACGAAAAAUGAACACAAGGAAAACCCUCUAACUCUACUACGUGUGAACUUAAUACUCACUUAAUACACAGGAACCGAUAACUUUUAAAACAUAACAUAAGACCCAUCCAGUACUAGUACAUAUCCCCCGACCUACUCAGACUCGUCCCUCCAAACAUGACUUGAGUACCCGUGAACACGACAAUAAAACAGUCCUCUAAUAGUAAAAUAGAGGCUUAUAAACAUG
rnacentral:rRNA from 1 species